GAUGAAGAACGUAGCGAAAUGCGAUAAGUAAUGUGAAUUGCAGAAUUCAGUGAAUCAUCGAAUCUUUGAACGCACCUUGCGCUCCUUGGUAUUCCGAGGAGCAUGCCUGUUUGAGUGUCAUGAAAUUCUCAACCUUUCUGGCUUUUGCUAGUCAGGCUUGGAUUAUGGGAGCUGCUGGCUUUUGAAGUCGGCUCUUCUAAAAUGUAUUAGCAAGAUCAUUGCAGCUCAUCAUUGGUAUGAUAAUUAUCUAUAUCAUUGAGAGUCAGUUUCCUUUAUUGGAAGAUUUUGCUCCUAACGGUCUUUAGCAAGACAACAUUUGACGAUUUUGACCUCAAAUCAGGUAGGACUACCCGCUGAACUUAAGCAUAUCAAUAAGCGGAGGA
rnacentral:misc_RNA from 1 species